CGCACCAAACCAACACAGACAAACACAGUCCCAACGCGAACGAACCAACAUGGCGGAAGCAGAGACGAGCGAGUUGACUUCUGCGGGUAUUUUCCAGGAGAUCUUCACCUCCCCGCUCAACCUCACCCUGCUCAGCCUCUGCUUGUUCCUCCUGUACAAAAUCCUCCGCGGGGACAAACCGCCGGAGCUCGGUGAGGUGGAGAAACCUCUGCCCAAACUGAAGAAGAGAGACUUUACCCUGGCGGAGCUCAAGCCCUACGAUGGGCUGGAAAACCCAAGGAUCCUCAUGGCGGUCAACGGAAAGGUGUUCGACGUGACCAGAGGGAAGAAGUUCUACGGACCAGAGGGUCCGUAUGGUGUGUUCGCUGGCAGAGAUGCAUCCAGAGGUUUGGCGACGUUCUGUCUGGAGAAGGACGCCCUGAAAGGCGAGCACGAUGAUCUGUCGGACCUGAACGCCAUGCAGCAGGAGAGCCUCACUGAGUGGGAGACGCAGUUCACCUUCAAGUACGACUACGUCGGUAAGCUGCUGAAACCAGGAGAGGAGCCCACGGAGUACACGGACGACGAGGAAGGCAAAGACAAGAAAGCCGACUAGAAAAAGCUGCAGGAGGGAUUCAAAUGCCUUAAUUUCCGUUGGUUAUUCACAUCUGUUUUUGGUUGGAUAGUUUGUAAAAGUGCAUCCAUCCCCUGAACACAAACGCAGCCGUACAGUUGGAAAGUGACGCUCAUUACAGGACGGCGUCUGCCCCCGGACACAUGUUUGACACACCCCCCCCCCCCCCCCCCCCCCCCCAACAUAAACGGUGUAAUCCUGCCUAAGAUGACAGCAUUGGAAGACAAUUAGAAUGUUGUUGAAGAGGAGAAGGACAAAUGGGUGAUGACCACGUACACAAACCAGCUGAUAACACUGACAUAAACGUGCUGUUAAAGCAGAGAAGUGCCAGCGGUUGCCUUUCUUGCUAUUAUUCGACCGUCAUCGGUGUUAUUUUUCACAUGCUUUUCACAUUUCAGCUCACAUUUAACCAACUGUACGUUCUGUAGUUCUGCUGUGAGGCCUUCCUUCCUGUUUUUUUAAACACACAUUUUCAACUGAUUAUUGAAGACACCUCAUUUUUAUUGGUUAUUUUAACAUUUUGUAAUCCAAAACAUAACACAACACAUAAACAACAUUCAGGAAUAGACACUACACUGUACAAAAAAAAAAAAAAAAAAGGUAUUAUUCUGGCAGCUGGAGUGCCAAAAAAAAUUCUGUAAAAUAACAGAAAAUAACCAUCUCAUAAAAA